rnacentral:rRNA from 1 species
AUCACCUACGGGAGGCAGCAGUGAGGAAUAUUGGUCAAUGGACGAGAGUCUGAACCAGCCAAGUAGCGUGAAGGAUGACUGCCUUAUGGGUUGUAAAAUUCUUUUAUAUGGGAAUAAAAUGUUCCACGUGUGGGAUUUUGUAUGUACCAUAUGAAUAAGGAUCGGCUAACUCCGUGCCAGCAGCCGCGGUAAUACGGAGGAUCCGCGCGUUAUCCGGAUUUAUUGGUUUUAAAGGGAGCGUAGGUGGAUUGUUAAGUCAGUUGUGAAUGUUUGCGGCUCAACCGUAAAAUUGCAGUUGAAACUGG